CCUACGGGAGGCAGCAGUGGGGAAUAUUGCACAAUGGGGGAAACCCUGAUGCAGCGACGCCGCGUGAGUGAAGAAGUAUUUCGGUACGUAAAGCUCUAUCAGCAGGGAAGAAAAUGACGGUACCUGACUAAGAAGCCCCGGCUAACUACGUGCCAGCAGCCGCGGUAAUACGUAGGGGGCAAGCGUUAUCCGGAUUUACUGGGUGUAAAGGGAGCGUAGACGGCAGCGCAAGUCUGAAGUGAAAUCCCAUGGCUUAACCAUGGAACUGCUUUGGAAACUGUGCAGCUGGAGUGCAGGAGAGGUAAGCGGAAUUCCUAGUGUAGCGGUGAAAUGCAUAGAUAUCACACAGAACACCGAUUGCGAAGGCAUCUGACGAAUCGGAGAUUGACGCUGAUGCACGAAAGCGUGGGUAUCGAACAGGAUUAGAUACCCCUGUAGUC
rnacentral:rRNA from 1 species